AUGAACUCCAUCCUCUGCUUUUCCUUCACCUUCUCGAUGUUGUGCGGAGUUCGAAUCCCAGUGAGGCCAUGCAUUUCUAUCAACACCUACUUCCUCUUGUCCGUGCCCCGACCUUUCCCACUAAUCUCAGCAACCAACACCUUGCAUAGCUCCGUGAUAAGUCUGCUUGUAUCACUCUCUGGGAACCCAGGCACAAAACUGUGUGAAUGUUUGGAGGAAAGGCACUUGUCAUUGCAGUGACCCAAGUUCAACGAAGUGCGGUCACGAAGUGUUCGAUAUGCCCACGCCUCUACCCAGUGGUGAGAAGCACACUGAGGGGGACAACUCCCCAGUUCACACUUCCUGGAUUUCCUCGGUGAUCUGAUUCCUCUAAGCCCCUGGGCAUGAGUUUUGCCAAGGAUGGAGGAGGGAGCCUGCUAGACAAAGGAUCCAGCUGGCUACUCGUUUGGCCGCAGUUGGCUCUGCUGCCGGUACAGGAUUCCGCUCAGCCGCGUUGCUUGUGCGGGGUCCAGAUCCUCGACGGAUCUCCUCUUACAGGCUCUCCGGAAUUCACUUAGUUCAGAUGUGUGGACAGCAAUUUAAAGCCGAUCAGUGAGGCUACUGGUAAUAAAAGGUCACAUCACGGAACCGGGA
rnacentral:lncRNA from 1 species